rnacentral:SRP_RNA from 1 species
CGUGCUAGACGGGGAGGUAGCGGUGCCCUGUAACCCGCAAUCCGCUACAGCGGGGUCGAAUUCCCAACCCGAGGCGGCCGUUUGUGAGGCUGGCUCGGCUAAGCGGCGAGGAACACUGGGUCCUGUGCAACGGGAACCUGUGAACCCCGUCAGGCCCGGGAGGGAGCAGCGGUAAGCAGGACAACCCGUGUGCCGCAGGGGUGCCUGGUAGGAGCUGGCUGGCUGGGUAUCGCUCGGAAGCGGUCCGUCGGAGGUGGGUGCACG